rnacentral:snoRNA from 1 species
GAGACAAAUUGGUUAUAUAACUUGCUGUGGGAACAAAGUCUAACUUAGUCCAGUAUUCUUUUUUCUACAAGGAAAGCUGUUAUAUAGACUUAAGUAGU